GAUGAACGCUGGCGGCGUGCCUAAUACAUGCAAGUCGAGCGAACUGAUUAGAAGCUUGCUUCUAUGACGUUAGCGGCGGACGGGUGAGUAACACGUGGGCAACCUGCCUGUAAGACUGGGAUAACUUCGGGAAACCGAAGCUAAUACCGGAUAGGAUCUUCUCCUUCAUGGGAGAUGAUUGAAAGAUGGUUUCGGCUAUCACUUACAGAUGGGCCCGCGGUGCAUUAGCUAGUUGGUGAGGUAACGGCUCACCAAGGCAACGACGCAUAGCCGACCUGAGAGGGUGAUCGGCCACACGGGGACGGAAACAGCGCCGAGCCUCCUACGGGAGGCAGCAGAAGUAAAUCGUCCGAAAGGGCGGAAAGUCUGACGGAGCAACGCGGCGUGGGUGAUGAAGGGUUUCGAGUCGUAAAACGCUGGUGUUAGGGAAGAACAAGUACGAGAGUAACUGCUCGUACCGUGACGGUACCUAACCAGAAAGCCACGGCUAACUACGUGCCAGCCGCCGCCGUAAAAC
rnacentral:rRNA from 1 species